GUGGGGAAUAUUGGACAAUGGGCGCAAGCCUGAUCCAGCCAUGCCGCGUGAGUGAUGAAGGCCUUAGGGUUGUAAAGCUCUUUCAGUGGGGACGAUAAUGACGGUACCCACAGAAGAAGCCCCGGCUAACUUCGUGCCAGCAGCCGCGGUAAUACGAAGGGGGCUAGCGUUGUUCGGAUUUACUGGGCGUAAAGCGCACGUAGGCGGAUCGUUAAGUCGGGGGUGAAAUCCUGGAGCUCAACUCCGGAACUGCCUUUGAUACUGGGUACCUAGAGUAUGGAAGAGGUAAGUGGAAUUCCGAGUGUAGAGGUGAAAUUCGUAGAUAUUCGGAGGAACACCAGUGGCGAAGGCGGCUUACUGGUCCAUUACUGACGCUGAGGUGCGAAAGCGUGGGGAGCAAACAGGAUUAGAUACCCGUGUAGUCC
rnacentral:rRNA from 1 species